CCGCGCUAAGACGGGGAGCCGGGGGUGCCCUGUAGCCUGCAUAACCCUCCAUAGCAGGGUCGAUGUCCAUCUGAGGUUUUGCUUGGUCGGGACAGCCCGGGAGAAGUGGUGUUGAAGGUCGGGCUCUCCGCAACAGGAACUUGUGAACCGGGUCAGGACGGGAACGGAGCAGCCCUAAACAAGACCUCUUGUGUGCCGGAGAACUACCUGGUUGGAGCUAACUGGCCCGGUAACGCCGGGUUUGUCAUUAUCGAAGAUUGGAUGCGCGG
rnacentral:SRP_RNA from 1 species